rnacentral:rRNA from 1 species
AGAGUUUGAUCAUGGCUCAGAUUGAACGCUGGCGGCAGGCCUAACACAUGCAAGUCGAACGGUAACAGGAAGCAGCUUGCUGCUUUGCUGACGAGUGGCGGACGGGUGAGUAAUGUCUGGGAAACUGCCUGAUGGAGGGGGAUAACUACUGGAAACGGUGGCUAAUACCGCAUAACGUCGCAAGACCAAAGAGGGGGACCUUCGGGCCUCUUGCCAUCAGAUGUGCCCAGAUGGGAUUAGCUUGUUGGUGAGGUAAUGGCUCACCAAGGCGACGAUCCCUAGCUGGUCUGAGAGGAUGACCAGCCACACUGGAACUGAGACACGGUCCAGACUCCUACGGGAGGCAGCAGUGGGGAAUAUUGCACAAUGGGCGCAAGCCUGAUGCAGCCAUGCCGCGUGUAUGAAGAAGGCCUUCGGGUUGUAAAGUACUUUCAGCGGGGAGGAAGGUGUUGUGGUUAAUAACCGCAGCAAUUGACGUUACCCGCAGAAGAAGCACCGGCUAACUCCGUGCCAGCAGCCGCGGUAAUACGGAGGGUGCAAGCGUUAAUCGGAAUUACUGGGCGUAAAGCGCACGCAGGCGGUCUGUCAAGUCGGAUGUGAAAUCCCCGGGCUCAACCUGGGAACUGCAUUCGAAACUGGCAGGCUUGAGUCUUGUAGAGGGGGGGAGAAUUCCAGGUGUAGCGGUGAAAUGCGUAGAGAUCUGGAGGAAUACCGGUGGCGAAGGCGGCCCCCUGGACAAAGACUGACGCUCAGGUGCGAAAGCGUGGGGAGCAAACAGGAUUAGAUACCCUGGUAGUCCACGCCGUAAACGAUGUCUACUUGGAGGUUGUGCCCUUGAGGCGUGGCUUCCGGAGCUAACGCGUUAAGUAGACCGCCUGGGGAGUACGGCCGCAAGGUUAAAACUCAAAUGAAUUGACGGGGGCCCGCACAAGCGGUGGAGCAUGUGGUUUAAUUCGAUGCAACGCGAAGAACCUUACCUGGUCUUGACAUCCACGGAAGUUUUCAGAGAUGAGAAUGUGCCUUCGGGAACCGUGAGACAGGUGCUGCAUGGCUGUCGUCAGCUCGUGUUGUGAAAUGUUGGGUUAAGUCCCGCAACGAGCGCAACCCUUAUCCUUUGUUGCCAGCGGUCCGGCCGGGAACUCAAAGGAGACUGCCAGUGAUAAACUGGAGGAAGGUGGGGAUGACGUCAAGUCAUCAUGGCCCUUACGACCAGGGCUACACACGUGCUACAAUGGCGCAUACAAAGAGAAGCGACCUCGCGAGAGCAAGCGGACCUCAUAAAGUGCGUCGUAGUCCGGAUUGGAGUCUGCAACUCGACUCCAUGAAGUCGGAAUCGCUAGUAAUCGUGGAUCAGAAUGCCACGGUGAAUACGUUCCCGGGCCUUGUACACACCGCCCGUCACACCAUGGGAGUGGGUUGCAAAAGAAGUAGGUAGCUUAACCUUCGGGAGGGCGCUUACCACUUUGUGAUUCAUGACUGGGGUGAAGUCGUAACAAGGUAACCGUAGGGGAACCUGCGGUUG